UGAAGCUGGAGAAGAACGAAAGGACGCCUUACAUCAUGAAAACCACCAAGCACUUCAAUGAUGUGCGUAUGGGCAGCAGCAUCUUUCUCUGCCCAGAGUUUCUUCAGCAGGACCCUCAAAGGGCUGAGUGGAGGGCAGGCUGUACACUGGCAGGAGCCAGGCCACCUGGGUCCUCUCUGGUGUCCCCACCCUCAGCCAUAUAACCUUGGGCUGGUGACUUCAGUCUCAGUUUCUCCGCCUAAUAAAUGGGCUGACCACUGAAAGGUCACAUGACAAUUAACAGGGACAAUCAGAGAAAGACACUCAGCCCAGCCUUGGUUCCCGGGGAGCCCUCCCUCAAGCCUGUGAUUACUGAGAGGAGUCACCUGAGAGCAGAUGUGGUGAUGUGCCUGAUGGAAAGGAAGGAAGGAAAGGGUUGUGCUUUUGCUGUGCUGCUUACCUUUUAACCUCAACUCAGUAUCAGAAACAAGGACUGUUAGGCUGGGGAAUGGCAGACAACCUCCCUCUAAUGCAUACACACAUUACCCAGCACCCUCCGAAAUUCCUGAAAUGUUGGCUAGGGGCUUAAAGUACCCUGGAAGUGAUGAAAUGAUGUUCUUACCACCCUCUUGACUUUCAUGAUGGUUAACUGGACCCCACAGGAUCACAUUAAAGAGACCAGAGACCCAGAACCACUAAGGGGCAAGGCUGGGUUGAAGCCAAGGGCUUGUAAGUGUCCCUGGGCAAGAUCAAGAUGGCCUGGUAUCUGACUCCGCCAGUCUCUGUCUCCUACUUUAUCCCCUACUCCCACCCCCUAUGCUUUCUUGGGGAUGAACUGUAGAGAUACCAAAACAGCAAAGCAGCCCCGUGUACAUAGCACAAAGGACCUGGGCUAACUCUGAUUAGGACACUAAGAUCAGACAGGAGCAUCCCAUAAACCCAGCUCCUAGAAGCCCAUCUCAGAAAAACAUGAGAGCAGCAGAGAUCAGAGGGCAAACAGGUCUCAGUCUGCUAAGGCAAAAGUCUCUUCAGCAUGGAGUGUUGGCAAAGUUCCCUGUAGUAGUUGCCCCUGGUUGAGUUCCUGCCUGGUGCCUAGCACUGCGCUUUACAUGCAUAAUAAUCUCAUUUAAAGCUCACACCAAGCCUAAGGGAUGGGGGCUGUUCUCACAUUUGAGACACUGAGAAGCUGAGGCUCUAGCAGAGUGUGUGGCCGAGCAUACCUCCCGUGCCUGCACUGUGGAAGAUGGCCCGUGUGAGAAAAUCUCUCUCCCAGCAACUUCUCCAUAUCUGCUCAAGGUCUGCCCACUGGAUCCUUGGGACCCAUCCACACCCAACCUCGUAAUAGCUCUGAGAGCAAUUUGCACUCAGCAUCUUCAUUCCUCUGAGUUUAAUCAUCAACCUAAGAGCCUUUGAUGGGUGGAGGUGGGAGCACAUGAUUCCACUUAUCCUGACCGCCUGCCAGGGCUCUACGCAUUAACCUCAGCAGGGGAUGGGCCCCCAGGCACACACAGCCCAUCCUGGGUGGGUCCUUGGCAGCCAGGAGGAACAGAAAAGACCCACUAUUACAGCAGAGGGGAGGAGCCAUCUGGAGCCUUCCAGUCCUGGGCACCAGGUGGUUUUCUGCCCUGAACAGAGAGCAGAAUGGCUACCCCUGUGUCUCCCAGGACAGAGAGCAAUGGAGACCAGACAAAGCUUUAGCAAACAGGCUGCUAGAGGCCUGGGUCUGACCAUGCCUUACACACACGUGCACAGUGCCAGGCAGCCCGACACUGUCCUCUCCUUGUGCUGUCCCACUGUAUGCACAGGACUGUUUAGGACAAGACAAGAACACAAACUGAUCAUUCACUUUUUACUGUGUGACAGGUGCUAUGCUAUAAGGGUUUCAUAGACAUCAUCUCAUUUACUUUGCUAUUCUCAUUUUAUAGUGGGAGAAACUGAGACUCAAGGAAGUUAAAUUGCAUCGCCCACAUUACACAGCAGGAAAGUCCCCUCUGAACCCAGGGACAGCCUCCAGAGGCUGCCUCGUCACUCCUUGGCACUUGGCCAUCUGUGUUUAAAUCAUUCUGUAUCCUGAGACACAGAAUGUGUGUCUCGAUGACGGUGGCUUUCUUAAUGUCCCCCAGGAACAGUUCUCUUUGCUAUUUUCCAGCCCUUCUGCCUUCCAUGUCUUCGUCCUUCUGACUGGUACUAGCUAAGAUCUCCAGCAUGAGGGCUAGACCUGGGGGAGACAAGCAAGGUGGCCAGGGUGCAAAGCUUAAGAAGCCACUCACCCUCCUGGCAGUUGCACAUUGGGGCCUCAGGUGCCUCAUCCUCGUCCCCAUGCUUUCCAGGACAAUGUGGAAUGGACACAGUGACAGGUGUCUUGUUCUUAGUGUUAAAGGGAAUGUUUCUGCUAUUUCCCCAUGUAGGAUGGUGUUUGCUCUUCUAUCAAGGUUUUUUUUUAAAUCCUUUCUACUCCUGUGUGCUAGAAGUUUUUCCCAUGAUGAAUAUUGACUCUGUGUGUGUGUGUGUGUGUGUGUUACUGACGAUUAAACCCAGGGCCUCACGCUUUGAGCUACAUCCCCAUGUUUUAUUUAGUUUGAGACAGAGUCUCAUUAAGUUGCCUAUGCUGGACUUCUUGAACUUUUGAUCCUCCUGCCUCAGCCUCCUGAGUAGCUGGGAUUGCAGGCAUGCACCAGCAUGCCUAGCUGGAUAUUGAUUUUUAUCAAGUAUUUUUCCUCCUGCUAUUGAAAUGGUCAUGUGGUUUUUUUCCUUUAGUCUAUUGAUAUGGUAAAUGACAGUUACACUCUUUUUUUCUAAUAAUCAAAGAUCUUUUCGUCCCAGGGACAAACCCAAUGUGAUUGUGGUGUAUAAACAGAUAUGUCAUUUCCUUUCUUGUGCUGUCCAUCUCUGGUAUUGGUAUCAAGGUAAUGCUGGCAUCAUAGAAUAAAUUAGCAGGUAUUCUCUUUCUCUUUCUUCUUAAAAAAAAAAAAUAGUAUUUCUGAGCCCAGUGGCACACACAUGUAAUUCCCAACAACAGAAGGCUGAAGCAAGAGAAUAUCAAGUUCAAGACCAGCCUCAGCCACUUAGUGACACCCUGUUUCAAAAUAAAAAAUAAAAAAGUCUGGGGAUGAAGCUCAGUGGUAAAGAGCCCCUGUGUUCAAUCCCCAAUACCAAAACAUACAAAAUAAC
rnacentral:lncRNA from 1 species